AUUGAACGCUGGCGGGAUGCCUUACACAUGCAAGUCGAGCGAGCGGCGGACGGGUGAGUAAUGUCUGGGAAACUGCCUGAUGGAGGGGGAUAACUACUGGAAACGGUAGCUAAUACCGCAUACCAUCGGAUGUGCCCAGAUGGGAUUAGCUAGUAGGUGGGGUAACGGCUCACCUAGGCGACGAUCCCUAGCUGGUCUGAGAGGAUGACCAGCCACACUGGAACUGAGACACGGUCCAGACUCCUACGGGAGGCAGCAGUGGGGAAUAUUGCACAAUGGGCGCAAGCCUGAUACAGCCAUGCCGCGUGUAUGAAGAAAGCCUUCGGGUUGUAAAGUACUUUCAGCGAGGAGGCGUUACUCGCAGAAGAAGCACCGGCUAACUCCGUGCCAGCAGCCGCGGUAAUAC
rnacentral:rRNA from 1 species